GGAUGGUGGGCCGAGAGGUUAAAGGCAGCAUUUUGCUAAAAUGAAGCACGUGCCAAGCAGCACGCGCCGCAGGUUCGAAUCCUGCACCAUCCGCCA
rnacentral:tRNA from 1 species